rnacentral:hammerhead_ribozyme from 1 species
AUAGAGCCGAUGAGUCCCAAAUAGGACGAAACGCGCAUCCUGGAU